GACGAACGCUGGCGGCGUGCUUAACACAUGCAAGUCGAACGGUGAAGCGCCUUCCUUUUUGGUGGGUGUGGAUGAGUGGCGAACGGGUGAGUAACACGUGAGUAACCUGCCCCCUUCUUCUGGAUAACCGCAUGAAAGUGUGGCUAAUACGGGAUAUUCUGGGUCUGUCGCAUGAUGGGUCUGGGAAAGAUAUUGUUUCGGUGGGGGAUGGGCUCGCGGCCUAUCAGCUUGUUGGUGGGGUGAUGGCCUACCAAGGGGGUGACGGGUAGCCGGCCUGAGAGGGUGGACGGUCACACGGGGACUGAGACACGGCCCAGACUCCUACGGGAGGCAGCAGUGGGGAAUAUUGCACAAUGGGCGCAAGCCUGAUGCAGCGACGCCGCGUGAGGGAUGGAGGCCUUCGGGUUGUGAACCUCUUUCGCCAGUGAAGCAGGCCUGCCUCGUUUGUGGGUGGGUUGACGGUAGCUGGAUAAGAAGCGCCGGCUAACUACGUG
rnacentral:rRNA from 1 species